UGGACGGAACAGUUUUCUGGAGU
rnacentral:piRNA from 1 species